UACAGAGGGGGCAAGCGUUAUUCGGAAUUAUUGGGCGUAAAGGGCGCGUAGGCGGCUUUUCAAGUGACGGGUGAAAUCCCUCGGCUUAACCGAGGAACUGCCUGUCAGACUGGAAGGCUUGAGACCGGGAGAGGUGAGUGGAAUUCCGAGUGUAGAGGUGAAAUUCGUAGAUAUUCGGAAGAACACCAGUGGCGAAGGCGGCUCACUGGCCCGUUACCGACGCUCAGGCGCGACAGCGUGGGGAGCAAACAGG
rnacentral:rRNA from 1 species